GAUGAAGAACGCAGCGAAAUGCGAUAAGUAAUGUGAAUUGCAGAAUUCAGUGAAUCAUCGAAUCUUUGAACGCACCUUGCGCCCUUUGGCUAUUCCGAAGGGCAUGCCUGUUUGAGUAUCAUGAACACCUCAACUCUCAUGGCCUGCCAUGAUGAGCUUGGACUUUGGGGGUCUUGCCGGCCUAGUGUCGGCUCCUCUCAAACGGAUCAGCUUGCCAGUGUUUGGUGGCGUCACAGGUGUGAUAACUAUCUACGCUUGUGGUUUUUCACCAGGUUAACCUUCAGUGAUGGAGGUUCGCUGGAGCUCAUAAAUGUCCCUUCUCAGUGAGGACAGCUCUUUGAACGUUUGAUCUCAAAUCAGGUAGGACUACCCGCUGAACUUAAGCAUAUCAAUAAGCGGAGGA
rnacentral:misc_RNA from 1 species